rnacentral:rRNA from 1 species
GUGUGCGUCUGCUUUACCUGCAGUCGAACGGCAGCGCGGGCUUCGGCCUGGCGGCGAGUGGCGAACGGGUGAGUAAUAUAUCGGAACGUGCCCAAGAGUGGGGGAUAACGUAGCGAAAGUUACGCUAAUACCGCAUACGAUCUAUGGAUGAAAGCAGGGGACCGCAAGGCCUUGUGCUCCUGGAGCGGCCGAUAUCUGAUUAGCUAGUUGGUGAGGUAAAGGCUCACCAAGGCGACGAUCAGUAGCUGGUCUGAGAGGACGACCAGCCAUACUGGAACUGAGACACGAUCAAAAUUUCUACGGGAGGCAGCAGUGGGGAAUUUUGGACAAUGGGGGCAACCCUGAUCCAGCAAUGCCGCGUGAGUGAAGAAGGCCUUCGGGUUGUAAAGCUCUUUUGUCAGGGAAGAAAAGGGUACGGCUAAUAUCCGUGCCUCAUGACGGUACCUGAAGAAUAAGCACCGGCUAACUACGUGCCAGCAGCCGCGGUAAUACGUAGGGUGCAAGCGUUAAUCGGAAUUACUGGGCGUAAAGCGUGCGCAGGCGGUUUUGUAAGUCUGUCGUGAAAUCCCCGGGCUUAACCUGGGAAUGGCGAUGGAGACUGCAAGGCUGGAAUCUGGCAGAGGGGGGUAGAAUUCCACGUGUAGCGGUGAAAUGCGUAGA